GACGAACGCUGGCGGCGUGCUUAACACAUGCAAGUCGAGCGGUAAGGCCCUUUCGGGGGGUACACGAGCGGCGAACGGGUGAGUAACACGUGGGUGACCUGCCCUCAGCUCUGGGAUAAGCCUGGGAAACCGGGUCUAAUACCGGAUAUGACUCCAUGACGCAUGUUGUGGGGUGGAAAGCCUUGUGCGGCUGAGGAUGGGCCCGCGGCCUAUCAGCUUGUUGGUGGGGUGAUGGCCUACCAAGGCGACGACGGGUAGCCGGCCUGAGAGGGCGACCGGCCACGCUGGGACUGAGACACGGCCCAGACUCCUACGGGAGGCAGCAGUGGGGAAUCUUGCGCAAUGGGCGAAAGCCUGACGCAGCGACGCCGCGUGAGGGAUGACGGCCU
rnacentral:rRNA from 1 species